rnacentral:rRNA from 1 species
UCAGAUUGAACGCUGGCGGCAGGCCUAACACAUGCAAGUCGAACGGUAACAGGAAGCAGCUUGCUGCUUCGCUGACGAGUGGCGGACGGGUGAGUAAUGUCUGGGAAACUGCCUGAUGGAGGGGGAUAACUACUGGAAACGGUGGCUAAUACCGCAUAACGUCGCAAGACCAAAGAGGGGGACCUUCGGGCCUCUUGCCAUCAGAUGUGCCCAGAUGGGAUUAGCUUGUUGGUGAGGUAACGGCUCACCAAGGCGACGAUCCCUAGCUGGUCUGAGAGGAUGACCAGCCACACUGGAACUGAGACACGGUCCAGACUCCUACGGGAGGCAGCAGUGGGGAAUAUUGCACAAUGGGCGCAAGCCUGAUGCAGCCAUGCCGCGUGUAUGAAGAAGGCCUUCGGGUUGUAAAGUACUUUCAGCGGGGAGGAAGGUGUUGUGGUUAAUAACCACAGCAAUUGACGUUACCCGCAGAAGAAGCACCGGCUAACUCCGUGCCAGCAGCCGCGGUAAUACGGAGGGUGCAAGCGUUAAUCGGAAUUACUGGGCGUAAAGCGCACGCAGGCGGUCUGUCAAGUCGGAUGUGAAAUCCCCGGGCUCAACCUGGGAACUGCAUUCGAAACUGGCAGGCUUGAGUCUUGUAGAGGGGGGUAGAAUUCCAGGUGUAGCGGUGAAAUGCGUAGAGAUCUGGAGGAAUACCGGUGGCGAAGGCGGCCCCCUGGACAAAGACUGACGCUCAGGUGCGAAAGCGUGGGGAGCAAACAGGAUUAGAUACCCUGGUAGUCCACGCCGUAAACGAUGUCUACUUGGAGGUUGUGCCCUUGAGGCGUGGCUUCCGGAGCUAACGCGUUAAGUAGACCGCCUGGGGAGUACGGCCGCAAGGUUAAAACUCAAAUGAAUUGACGGGGGCCCGCACAAGCGGUGGAGCAUGUGGUUUAAUUCGAUGCAACGCGAAGAACCUUACCUGGUCUUGACAUCCACGGAAGUUUUCAGAGAUGAGAAUGUGCCUUCGGGAACCGUGAGACAGGUGCUGCAUGGCUGUCGUCAGCUCGUGUUGUGAAAUGUUGGGUUAAGUCCCGCAACGAGCGCAACCCUUAUCCUUUGUUGCCAGCGGUCCGGCCGGGAACUCAAAGGAGACUGCCAGUGAUAAACUGGAGGAAGGUGGGGAUGACGUCAAGUCAUCAUGGCCCUUACGACCAGGGCUACACACGUGCUACAAUGGCGCAUACAAAGAGAAGCGACCUCGCGAGAGCAAGCGGACCUCAUAAAGUGCGUCGUAGUCCGGAUUGGAGUCUGCAACUCGACUCCAUGAAGUCGGAAUCGCUAGUAAUCGUGGAUCAGAAUGCCACGGUGAAUACGUUCCCGGGCCUUGUACACACCGCCCGUCACACCAUGGGAGUGGGUUGCAAAAGAAGUAGGUAGCUUAACCUUCGGGAGGGCGCUUACCACUUUGUGAUUCAUGACUGGGGUGAAGUCGUAACAAGGUAACCGUAGGGGAACCUGC